GUGAGGAAUAUACUUGAGAAGGCCCCAAACAGCUUGUCCACCCAUAGAAAAUCCCAUAACAUAAAAUUUAGAUCCCAAUUCCAAUUGAUCAGCUAAUUCCUCUAUAUCAAGAGCUAAGGUCUUUGGCGUUCUUUUUGGAUGAGGAUCACUUUCACCAUAACCAGGUCUAUCAAUUGACACAAUAUAUAUUCCCAAACUUUGCAUAAGCUCCU